UCUGACGCUGAGGUGCGAAAGCUAGGGUAGCGAACGGGAUUAGAUACCCCGGUAGUCCUAGCCGUAAACGAUGGGCACUAGGCAAUGGGUUUUCCCUAUGGGACUCAUAGCCGUAGCUAAUGUGUUAAGUGCCCCGCCUGGGGAGUACGCUCGCAAGGGUAAAACUCAAAGGAAUUGACGGGGGAUCACACAAGCGGUGGAGCAUGUGGUUUAAUUCGAAGCAACGCGAAGAACCUUACCUGGUCUUGACAUGCAUGGAUUAGCCCUGUGAAAGCAGGGUGACAGCUCUUCGGAGUCGGAACAUGUGCAGGUGUUGCAUGGCUGUCGUCAGCUCGUGUCGUGAGAUGUUGGGUUAAGUCCCGUAACGAGCGAAACCCUUAUCGUUAGUUGCCAGCGGGUAAUGCCGGGGACUCUAGCGAGACUGCCGUUGUCAAAACGGAGGAAGGUGGGGACGACGUCAAGUCAUCAUGGCCCUUAUGACCAGGGCGACACACGUGCUACAAUGGCCGAUACAAAGGGUUCCAAAAUCGCGAGAUCAAGGCAAUCCCAUAAAGUCGGCCCCAGUUCGGAUUGCAGGCUGCAAUUCGCCUGCAUGAAGCUGGAAUCGCUAGUAAUCGCGUAUCAGCCAUGACGCGGUGAAUAUGUUCCUGAUCCUUGUACACACCGCCCGUCAAGCCACGGAAGCGGGGAGCGCUCGAAGUCGUUUUGUCUAACCUUCGGGAGGACGGCGCCGAAAGCGAACUCCGUGACUGGGACUAAGUCGUAACAAGGUA
rnacentral:rRNA from 1 species